AUUUGAUGCUGAGAGCAUUUGAUGCAUAACUUCUUGAAUCUCUCCCAAUAAUCAUAGAAUGACUCUCUUGAAUAUUGUUUGAUACCGCAUAUCUCUUUCCUCAGACU